GUUCGAUGUGUUUUCUCAAAAAGCCACGGGAUGGAACUGCCUUUUGAACAAUGAAAACAGUUAAGCUGUUUCCAAAACAAAAACUCAGAGAGAGGUAGAGAGAGAGAGAUGGAGAGGUAGAGAGAGAGAGAUGGAGAGGUAGAGAGAGAGAGAUGGAGAGGUAGAGAGAGAGAGAUGGAGAGGUAGAGAGCGAGAGAUGGAGAGGUAGAGAGAGAGAUAGAGGUAGAGAGAGAGAGAUGGAGAGGUAGAGAGAGAGAUGGAGAGGUAGAGAGAGAGAGAUGGAGAGGUAGAGAGAGAGAGAGAUGGAGAGGUAGAGAGAGAGAGAUGGAGAGGUAGAGAGAGAGAUGGAGAGGUAGAGAGAGAUGGAGAGGUAGAGAGAGAGAGAUGGAGAGGUAGAGAGAGAGAUGGAGAGGUAGAGAGAGAGAGAUGGAGAGGUAGAGAGAGAGAGAUGGAGAGGUAGAGAGAGAGAGAUGGAGAGGUAGAGAGAGGUAGAGAGAUGGAGAGGUAGAGAGAGAGAGAUGGAGAGGUAGAGAUGGAGAGAUGGAGAGGUAGAGAGAGAGAGAUGGAGAGGUAGAGAGAGAGAGAUGGAGAGGUAGAGAGAGAUGGAGAGGUAGAGAGAGGUAGAGAGAGAGAGAUGGAGAGGUAGAGAGAGAGAGAGAUGGAGAGGUAGAGAGAGAGAGAUGGAGAGGUAGAGAGAGAGAGAUGGAGAGGUAGAGAGAGGUAGAGAGAUGGAGAGGUAGAGAGGUAGAGAGAUGGAGAGGUAGAGAGAGAGAGAUGGAGAGGUAGAGAUGGAGAGAUGGAGAGGUAGAGAGAGAGAGAUGGAGAGGUAGAGAGAGGUAGAGAGAUGGAGAGGUAGAGAGAUGGAGAGAUGGAGAGGUAGAGAGAGGUAGAGAGAUGGAGAGGUAGAGAGAGGUAGAGAGAUGGAGAGGUAGAGAGAGAGAGAUGGAGAGGUAGAGAGAGAGACAUGGAGAGGUAGAGAGAGAGAUGGAGAGGUAGAGAGAGAGAGAUGGAGAGGUAGAGAGAGAGAGAUGGAGAGGUAGAGAGAGAGAGAUGGAGAGGUAGAGAGAGAGAGAUGGAGAGGUAGAGAGAGAGAGAUGGAGAGGUAGAGAGAGAGAGAUGGAGAGGUAGAGAGAGAGAGAUGGAGAGGUAGAGAGAGAGAUGGAGAGGUAGAGAGAGAGAGACGGAGAGGUAGAGAGGUAGAGAGUUUCCAGCUUGUUCAUAUAUACAAUGUGUAGCCAAACUGCAAGUCACUUGUCUGAACCCCCUUACUACAAGUGCUUGCAGAAUUUAGCUUGAAGGAAAGCCAUAAACCAUCCAUCAUCAUUUGUUUGAAUGUAUUUUAAAGCAAGCACAUGAUUAACAGAUUACACAAAUUAUUUUUACAGUAGCAGUAGAAACUAAACUAAAACAUAUCAAAUGUUAUAAUAUGUGAAGCCUAUAACAUGCCUAAGUAGAAAUAUAUGAAUGACCUUAAUCCCCAAUCUGCUUUAAAGCACAGCCAUGUUCUUCAUUGAUUAGUUCCACCUUCCUCCUGUUAAUAGUCAGGGGACAUUGUGUACUUAUACAUUUAGAUGGUUUUGUAGAUAUACGGAUAUCCAAUCUGAUGUGAGAGGUUAUUGUCCUAGCACCUAUUGUACCAAGAAAAACAUGACAUGUAUGAUGCUUGAUUGGUUAUUUGUUUCAGUUCCUUACUUCAUAAUCGACAUAAUCCCAAUCGUUACACACAAAGCUUACUGUCUAUGAGAUACAUUUGCUACCUUUUCACCACUCUCCAAAUUUUUUAUUUCAUCUUUAUUUAACCAGGUAAGCUAGUUGAGAAGAAGUUCUCAUUUACAACUGCGACCUGGCCAGGAUAAAGCAAAGCAGUGCGACAGAAACAACAACACAGAGUUACAUGGAAUAAACAAGCGUACAGUCACUAACACAAUAGAAAAAAGAAAGUCUAUAUACAGUGUGUGCAAAUGGCAUGAGGAGGUAAGGCAAUAAAUAGGCCAAUAGGCCAAUUUAGCAGAUUAACACUGGAGUGAUAGAUGAGCAGAUGAUGGUGUGUAAAGUAGUGAUACUGGUGUGCAAAAGAGCAGCAAAGUAAAUAAAAACAAUAUGGGGAUGAGGUAGGUAGAUUGGGUGGGCUAUUUACAGAUGGACUAUGUACAGCUGCAGCGAUCGGUUAGCUGCUCAGAUAGGUGAAGUUUAAAGUUAGUGAGGGAAAUGUAAGUCUCCAGUUUCAGCGAUUUUUGCAAUUAGUUCCGGUCACUGGCAGCAGAGAACUUGAAGGAAAGGCGGCUAAAGGAGAUGUUAGCUUUGGGGAUGACCAGUGAGAUAUACCUGCUGGAGCGCGUGCUACGGGUGGGUGUUGUUAUUGUGACCAGUGAGCUGAGAUAAGGUGGAGCUUAGACUUGUAGAUGACCUGGAGCCAGUGGGUCUGGCGACGAAUAUGUCGAGGGCCAGCUGACUAGAGCAUACAGGUCGCAGUGGUGGGUGGUAUAAGGCGCUUUGGUAACAAAACGGAUGGCACUGUGAUAGACUGCAUCCAAUUAGCUGAGUAGAGUAUUGGAAGCUAUUUUGUAGAUGACAUCACAGAAGUCGAGGAUCGGUAGGAUAGUCAGUUAUUACUAGGGUAAGUUUGGAGGCGUGAGUGAAGGAGGCUUUGUUGCGAAAUAGAAAGCCGAUUCUAGAUUUGAUUUUGGAUUGGAGAUGUUUGAUAUGAGUCUGGAAGGAGAGUUUACAGUCUAGCCAGACACCUAGGUAUUUGUAGUUGUCCACGUAUUCUAGGUCAGAACCGUCCAGAGUAGUGAUGCUAGUCAGGCGGGCGGAAAGGCCUGCUCACAGAAGUGUUUAGGAUACAGAUAUAGACCCAGACAUAGCAGAGUUGCUGAUGGAGGAUGAGGAUACAGAUAUAGACCCAGACAUAACAGAGUUACUAAAGGAGGAUGAGGAUACAGAUAUAGACCCAGUCAUAGCAGAGUUACUGAAGGAGGAUGAGGAUGCAGAUAUAGACCCAGACAUAGCAGAGUUACUGAAGGAGGAUGAGGAUGCAGAUAUAGACCCAGACAUAGCAGAGUUGCUGAUGGAGGAUGAGGAUACAGAUGUAGACGCAGACAUAGCAGAGUUGCUGAUGGAGGAUGAGGAUACAGAUAUAGACCCAGACAUAACAGAGUUACUGAAGGAGGAUGAGGAUACAGAUACAGACCCAGACAUAACAGAGUUACUGAAGGAGGAUGAGGAUACAGAUAAAGACCCAGACAUAACAGAGUUACUGAAGGAGGAUGAUGAUAUAGAUAUAGACCCAGACAUAACAGUUACUGAAGGAGGAUGAGGAUACAGAUAUAGACCCAGACAUAACAGUUACUGAAGGAGGAUACAGAUAUAGACCCAGACAUAGCAGAGUUACUGAUGGAGGAUGAGAAUGCAGAUAUAGACCAAGUUCUCAUUUAGAACUGCAACCUGGCCAAGAUAAAGCACAGCAGUUCGACACAUACAACAACACAGAGUUACACACAGAAUAAACAAACGUACAGUCAAUAAUACAGUAUUGUGCAUUGGUGCUGGUACCAGGGAGCCAUAGAAAAUUGUAAAGAUCCACCCUGUCACAAAAACCUUGGAGGCCAUAUAUUUUUUAAUAGAGAGGUUGCACAGAAAAUGGUACCUGUAUAUCAUAGGAUGUCAAAUGAUAAUGUCCUCAAAAGAAUCUAGCACCCAGAAUGAAAAUGAAUGUCUGAACUCUGUAGUAUGGUCACGAUGCCCCAAAACUGUCUUCUUGGACAAAAGCCGCAUUGACGGAGCAGCCAGUAUGGCAGUAGCUAUGUUCAGUGAGGGAGCCACUGCUAUAACAAAUCUGAUGAACAAAUUGUGUCUUGACAGCACUUUGGUGACACUGGUGCAAUCAGAGAGGAGUUGUGAGAGCUGAUGCUGCUUCAACAGAGUGUGCCAAGCAUAGGCGCAGGUCCCAUGACACAGUCAAGAAAGUAAAGCGUCACCAACAACAACUCAGAGGGCCUUACAUAUGGGCCAGGCAUAGCUGAUUUAAUGUCCUGCACAUUUCAACAGCCAUACAAAAUCCUUGUAUGUGACAAAUUGAGCAAAGUGAUAUGAGAAUUUGCCCAAAAGAAGGCAGGCAAUGGAACAGAGAGCUUUCAGGAAAAACAGCACUGCCGGGUUGGAUUUUCCUCAGGUUUUCGCCUGCAAUAUCAGUUCUGUUAUAGUCACAGACAAUAUUUUGACUGUUUUUGAAACUUUAGAGUUUUUCUAUCCUAAUCUGACAAUUAUAUGCAUAUUCUAGAUUCUGGGCCUGAGAAAUAGGCAGUUUCAUUUGGGUAUGUUUUUCAUCCAAACAUCAACAUACUGCCCCUACACUCAACAGGUUAAUAGUGUUUUUUAAAAAUAUAUUCCAUGAAAUUACAAUAUUUUGAUAAACAAAUCUGUAAAGUCUGACCAUUGAGUGUCUUAUCACAACAAAACAAAAAUAAUUCUGCCUUGAAGAAAUGUUUUGGAAAAACAGAUUCUCAAAAUAUGCAAAUUAGCACAUAUUUAAGGACGGUUUGCCACAUUUGCAUAUUCAAUUGUUUUAAUAAAUUGAACUUGUAAAACAAUAAUAUCUUGUAUUAAUGCAUACUUUUAACUGGUAAAGUUUCAGUCUAAUGAGAGUAAAGGAAAAAAAUCCCUGUUAGCCUCUGUCAAGCUCUUGAUUUUGUUGAGAUUGACGUAUUGGUAGUCAUGAUGCAUACAGUAGUUAUAAUUCCUUCCAUAUUACUAAAGUCUAUAAUCAACUUGACCAUCAAUUCAUUUAAGUGAAUUUUCAUAACCAACACGAGCUUAGGGUUUUUGGAUCCCCUCCAGACCAUGAUGAAUUAUGAGAGUGGAGCUGUUGAUGUUCAGUAACCUUGGCUGGUCUGGUAACCUUGGCUGGUCUGAAAAGAUUUCCUAGAACCUCUCCACAGCAGCCGCUGGCCUACCACGCUAGUGUUGUGUUCUCACACAAGCCAUGCAUGUUCUGUAGAAGCUGGCGUUUCCUCAACAGGGCCAGAUGCUUCCUUCAGGAAUCCUCCAUCAUCUGUCUCCUGAUUUGCUGUUGAAACAUUUGGCAAAAUAUCAAUCCUAGGAAAGAGCAACGAGUUUACCUUUGCAUCCCAUUAACUCAAAGUAAACUCUGUUGAAGUGCGCCAUGUAAUGACACUUCACGAAUUUACUGAGAAUUUGUAUGUUUGUGCAUUUGGUUCCUCAGGCCAACUGCAAGGAGAAAUCACAAACACUUAAUCCUUAAUUUAUCCAUAAAGGACACUUCUCUAUAUAAGGAAAUAAGACACUAUCUCAGGGUUAAAAGGUGGCCGGUCUCAAGAUUUUACUGUCUGGCACAGAGUGGUAGAAGCUGUAACUAACUAUACAUCGGCCAGGCCUAUGUAGUGAAGCUCUCCCACAUACAUACUGUAUCUUAAAGGACCAUGGCAUGAUUCAUUGUAGCUACCUCAGUUCCUCCCUCUUUAUCUAAAAUAUUGGCUAGAUGGAUGCAGAAAAAAAGUCCCCCAAAACAUACAAUAGCCUGUCAAAAGGAGACAAAUUGACAAGUGGUCUAUGAGGUGUUUUAAAUCUGGUUAGUUUGAACUUUUCUGUUAUGUAAUGUGACAGGUUACUACACUCUUUGGAAAGUCUGUUUGCUUGCCUACCCGUUGUGAGAGCAAAAUUGCAAGAUUAUAUUACAAUGCUGUAAUUGCAUCAAAUGGUUGUUUUCUGCAACAUAAUAGAGGGUUCUUAUAACUCUAUUGUGUCCGUGUAAACUGAAAGUGGGCCUCUGGGAGAUUUAACAUGGACAGGAGAUUUACGAUGUCUUUGGGUGAUACCGCAUUCCAGAGCAUGAGUUAA
ensembl:lncRNA